rnacentral:rRNA from 1 species
AGUGAACGCUGGCGGUAGGCCUAACACAUGCAAGUCGAACGGCAGCACAUUAAUUUCUUGCUCUUACGGGUUGCGAGUGGCGUACGGGUGAUGAAUACAUCGUAAUCUACUUUUUCGUGUGUGAUAACGUAGGGAAACUUACUCUAAUACCGCAUACGACCUACGGGUGAAAGCAGUGGAUCUUCUGACCUUGCGCGUUUGUAUUAGCCGAUGUCGGAUUUGCUAGUUGGCUGGGUAAAGGCCCACCAAGGCGAGGAUCCGUAGCUGGUCUGAGAGGAUGAUGAGACACAGUGGAACUGAGACACGGAACAGAGGCAUACGGGAGGGAGCAGUGGGGAAUAUUGGACAAUGGGAGAAAGCGUGAUCCAGGGAGACCGAGUGGGUGAAGAAGGAGUUGGGGUUGUAAAGCCAUUUUGUUGGGAAAGAAAAGGAGCAGGUUAAAACGCAGCUGUUAUGACGGUACCGAAAGAAUAAGCACCGGCUAACUUCGUG